rnacentral:piRNA from 1 species
UAUUGUUAGAAUGCUUCCCCAAAU